GAUAAUUUUUAAGGACCCCAAACCUACAACACAAUUUCAAGAGGAAACUGAACUAAUAAUAAAUAAAUAGCAACAUAUAAUGAGUCGAUCAUUAGCUCUACCUUUUCAAUUAGCAGUACAUAGUAAGAAAUAAAACAAUAUGCAGGAAUCAUCAAAGCACUAACAAUGCAACAGGAUCAUGAGCUUUUCUAGUGGUUUGCCUUGCUAAUGCAUGAGCAAUAAAAUUAACUUCCAUUGGAGCAAUUAUGGAACAGUGGAAUUUAAGCAGGCAAAAAUGAUUAAGUUGAGCUUCUUAAGAAAAUAAAUGGAAAUAAUCUAAUUAAUGAUCGUUAUUUAACCCUUACCAACGUAAUGACAUUUUUUCCGGCACAGGAACAUAUAUAGAAAAGCAAAAUAUGUAUAAGAGAACCUUUGACUUGAAGGAAAAACCACUUCUAUCAUUCCACCAGGUUACAUAUUGUUUCAGAAUUUAACAAUGAACUUUUGUAAACAACAAAAGCUGCUAUCUUUUU
rnacentral:misc_RNA from 1 species